GAGGAGAGGAUGGUACCCGGUGGUAUUCACGGGCUUCAAACCCGAUGGGGGGCGGUGAAACCGUCCCUGGCAGGUUCGACUCCUGCCCUCUCCGC
rfam:Thioalkalivibrio denitrificans strain ALJD Ga0073317_1018, whole genome shotgun sequence.